ensembl:lncRNA
UCAAGAUCACGUCCUGUCACCAAGGCUGACUGAUUUCUUCUGGUGUUCAGAGUCUUUUGGAGUUUCUAGCACCAUUUGAAAUCGGUUACAAUGAAGGACAGAAACCAGCGUUUGAAGGAGAGACACAGAUCUUUUCUGCUGCCUACUACCUUACUGGAGAGAAGUUUAAGCGAAGUGGAUUUCCUGAUACUUCACUGAAUCCAUCUCGCCUUCCACACGCUGCAGGUUUCCAGUGCCAGAGGACCCAAAGCAGCCCCAGAGCAUCACCGAGCCACCACCAUGCUCGACUGUGGACAGAGUGUUCUAUCUUCAUUCUUCUUCCUCCAGACAUACCGCUGAUCCAUCGUGCUGAAACACAAUCUCAAAACUUCUGUGGCUUAUUUGUAUGCUUCUGAUCCAACUUUUCUUGGGCUUUGGGGCUGUAGUGGUGAACGUCUUGGAGUUCUGGCAUGGAAACCUUCUGCAUUUAGUAUACACCUUACUGUGCUCACUGAAACCUCAGUGCCUGUUACACCAAGUCUUGCUGUAGGCAUUUUGCAGUCACUCGAGGGUUUUUCACAACCUGCCUUCUCAGAAAUCUGGUUGUAGUCAUUGAUAGCAUCCGUUUUCUGCCCCAUCCAGGUAGUGUACUCUCAUCAAACCCCUAGUCAGUUCAGGUAUUUCAUGUGUUCUAGCUCAAGCACACCUGAUGCAACUAAUGAAGCCCUUGAUUAGUUGCAUCAGGUAUGCUUAAGACAACACAUGAUUUGCAUAUUUGUGCUGUUGUGAGGGAUUCUAUUCAGGGGGUUGAAUAAUUUUGACAAUAAACCUGAUUUGCAAUGGGGGCUGAAUAAUUUUGAUUGCAACUAUAUGGCCAAAAGUAUAUGGACACCUGACCAUCACAUCUAUUUGAGCUUGUUGGUCAUCCUAUUCCCAAAACCAUGGGCAUUAAUUUAUGGAGUUGGUUCCUAUUUUGGGCUAUAGCAGCCUCAAUUCUCCUUGGAAGGGUUCUAUUGCGUAUGCUUGGUUUACA